rnacentral:rRNA from 1 species
GCCACACUGGAACUGAGACACGGUCCAGACUCCUACGGGAGGCAGCAGUGGGGAAUAUUGCACAAUGGGCGCAAGCCUGAUGCAGCCAUGCCGCGUGUAUGAAGAAGGCCUUCGGGUUGUAAAGUACUUUCAGCAGUGAGGAAGGGGGUGUCGUUAAUAGCGGCAUCUCUUGACGUUAGCUGCAGAAGAAGCACCGGCUAACUCCGUGCCAGCAGCCGCGGUAAUACGGAGGGUGCGAGCGUUAAUCGGAAUUACUGGGCGUAAAGCGCAUGCAGGUGGUUUGUUAAGUCAGAUGUGAAAGCCCGGGGCUCAACCUCGGAACUGCAUUUGAAACUGGCAAACUAGAGUACUGUAGAGGGGGGUAGAAUUUCAGGUGUAGCGGUGAAAUGCGUAGAGAUCUGAAGGAAUACCAGUGGCGAAGGCGGCCCCCUGGACAGAUACUGACACUCAGAUGCGAAAGCGUGGGGAGCAAACAGGAUUAGAUACCCUGGUAGUCCACGCCGUAAACGAUGUCUACUUGGAGGUUGUGGCCUUGAGCCGUGGCUUUCGGAGCUAACGCGUUAAGUAGACCGCCUGGGGAGUACGGUCGCAAGAUUAUAACUCAAAUGAAUUGACGGGGGCCCGCACAAG